ensembl:lncRNA
GCCUUGUCUUGCAUUUAAUCAUGCAGUAACGUGAUGAUUGGCCUUUUUAGUUAGAAGGUGGAAAUAUUCCACCAUAUUGCGUAUUGGACUUUUCUUCCAUUCAUAGUGUUAUUAGUCCACUGUCUUGGUUUACAUUUAGUUUUACUGUUGAAAAAGCUAGUAAAUGCCUUGUUUUUAAUGUCUUGUAUUUUAUCACCUUGUUUCUCCAGUUUGACAUCUGUUUUGCUUUGAAUGCUGACUGUUCAGUAAAAGUGGUGGUUGCAUUCAUGUGAUGUUUCAUGGGUCCGAUUUUCAUGUGGGUGCCACUCGGAGUGUCUUCUCAGGUUUUAUAUACAGAAUCAUGGUGGAUGGAUGGAUUUUAAAAAUAAAGUUGGUCAUUUAUCCACAUGAAAUUUAAACUGAAUGCAGUUUCGUAAAGGAAUUUCUCAGCUUCUUCAGAAGAGCAGGAAUGACGGUUUUAAG